AAACUUUCAACAACGGAUCUCUUGGUUCUGGCAUCGAUGAAGAACGCAGCAAAAUGCGAUAAGUAAUGUGAAUUGCAGAAUUCAGUGAAUCAUCGAAUCUUUGAACGCACAUUGCGCCCGCCAGCAUUCUGGCGGGCAUGCCUGUUCGAGCGUCAUU
rnacentral:rRNA from 1 species